rnacentral:rRNA from 1 species
CCUGGCACCCAUACCACCCUGAACACGCCUGAUCUCGUCUGAUCUCGGAAGUCUUUUGGAUUUUUAACUGCAGAGAGACAUUUGAUUGUAAAAGCUGCUGAGU